UUUUUCUCAGGCUACCAAGAAUUCCUGGAAAUUGGAACGAAACAGAAAAGAUUAGCAUGGGUCCUGCGCAAGGAUGACACGCAAAAUGGAGCCCCAUGCCAUUCCU